UGAGGGAAAGUUGCAAAGAACUUUGAAGAGAGAGUUCAAGAGUUAGUGAAACUGCUCAGGGGCAAACGGGUGGGCCCUCGAAGUCCGUGCGGAGAGGGUUUCAGUCGGGGCCCCCAGCGCGCGGGACGGCCUCGAGGCGCAGUGGCCUCGCUCCCAGUGCGAGCGGACGCUCCGGCAAGGAGCGCGUCGGCGGGAGCCCCGAGUCACCGCGGUGCGUUUCCCCGGGCUGGCGGCGAGUAGGUCGGUAACCCACCCGUCCCGUCUUAAAACACGGACCAAGGAGUCCGACGUGCGCGCGAGUCAGUGGGGCUCGGCAAAGCCCACGGGCGGAACGAAAGUGAGACAGGUCGGGAUCGCCGACUCCGGUCGGCGCGCACCUCGCGGAAGUCGCCGGCGCUGGAGCGCGCGCGUCGGGACCCGAAAGAUGGUGAACUAUGCCCGGGCAGGUCGAAGCUAGAGGAAACUCUGGUGGAGGACCGCAGCGUUUCUGACGUGCAAAUCGAUUGUUGAACCUAGG
rnacentral:rRNA from 1 species